UAUUCAUGGCGGACAGGUGAAGUCGUGAGAGGGAGUUGUUUACAUGAGUUGCCAUUCACUUGGAUAUAUACGGCUUUGUGUUUGAUUUGAAAAGAGAUGGUGUUAACUGUACUAACAGGGAUAUAGUUCUGAAUGUUGCAAUUACUUAAAAUUGUAUUAUAAUGUAGUUUGGAGGUUUGUCAAAGGAAUUUACCGCUUGUAAGUUUCUACUUUUGGAGCCGUUCGUGUGCUGUACAGGAGCGUGACAAAUAAUGUCUCCGAGACUUUUCUGAACUAUGAUAUCUCCCGAUUCAUGUCACAGAUGACAUUAGUCAAUUUGUCCUUCAAGGAUUUAUGAGCUGGAUUAUCGGCCAUUUGAUGUGUGAUAGGGAGGGAGAAAGAUUGCUAUGUGAUGAACAAGUACGAAAUUCUGGGAGUAGUAGGUGAAGGGGCCUAUGGUGUGGUUCUAAAAUGCAGACAUAAGGAGUCUGGUGAGACGGUUGCUGUGAAGAAGUUCAAAGACAGUGAAGAAAAUGAAGAUGUCAAGAGAACAACCCUUCGCGAGCUCAAGAUGCUCCGUACCCUCAAACAGGAAAAUAUUGUGGAGCUACGGGAAGCAUUCCGACGGAAAGGCAAACUCUACCUUGUGUUCGAAUAUGUGGAAAGGAAUAUGUUGGAGUUACUGGAGGAGAUGCCAAAUGGUGUCCCACUGGAGAAAGUGAGAAGUUACACAUACCAACUGUGUAAGGCCAUACAGUGGUGUCACAGCCAGGACAUCAUACAUAGAGAUAUCAAACCUGAAAACUUGCUGAUUAGUAAACAAGAUACCCUCAAGUUGUGUGACUUUGGUUUUGCCAGGAGUAUAACCGGAGGUUUGGUUGGAGUCUACACGGACUAUGUGGCAACGCGAUGGUACAGGUCCCCGGAACUCCUCCUUGGGUCAGCGUACGGUAAAUCAGUAGAUAUAUGGUCCAUUGGUUGUAUAAUGGGGGAACUUUGUGAUGGUCAGCCUCUGUUCCCCGGAGAGAGUGAGAUCGACCAACUCUACGUUAUACAAAAAGUCAUGGGUCAACUGCCCUCGGAGCAAAUGAACAUGUUUUUCCACAACCCUCGCUUCUCUGGCCUGAAGUUCCCAUCGGUAACUAAACCCCAGACACUACAAAAGAGGUACCAAGGAGUUCUCAGCAGCGUUUACCUAGACUUCAUGGAGAACACCCUGCAGCUUGACCCUACUGACCGCUUCCUUAUAGAGGAAUGUAUAAACCACCCGGCCUUCCAGACCGAGCAGCUACUCAAUCGCACACACAACAUUCCCAUCAAAUAUGCCCGCACUGGCAGCAGUAAAAAACGCAAGAAAGAGUUUCCUGACAGUAACAUAGACAGUGAAAAUUUAAAGAAUCUCCAUAAAAGUCGACCUGACACAGCAGUGUCAGAGGAAACAAAGCCGUCCCAAGGUGCACCACAAGUGCAGCGAGUGAUGGUUGCACAGGAGGAGAAAAUGGACACUAGUGAGGACAGUUAUAUACAAAUGCCUGUCACCAGUAAAUACAUUAAACAGGCUAAAAACUUGUCUAAAAGCAAUGCGGACAAACUAUCCAAAAGUAACACUGACAAUAUGGCCAGUCAGCAAGAGACAAACAAACAGCCAGCGCCACAACCUGUGCAAAGGGAGGCGACUCGUGCUGAUAAAUAUGACUCUCGCUCACGGACCCCCAAACCUGCAUUAGAGAGAGGGGACAUGAAAGGCCAGUCACAGGACAGUGGUAGUCAGUUUGACCGUGAGAAAACUCUGGUGCUCGAUAACGGAUACAAGAUAAGAAUGACAACUGACAAAUCGCCUGGUGUAGAGGAGAGUGUGACAAAGGGAGGGAGGCAUAACAGUACUACGAGUGAACGAACAGUGGACACCAACAAUAGGUCAGUGUCAAGAACUAGUCAAGAAAGCCGACAUCACAGCACAUUUGCCGAUUUCCGCAACGCAAACGUGUUGGAAGGUGGCUUACAAAGUGCAUCUACAUUAACCACUGCCCAUAGUCAAACCAGCUCAUCAAACAUAGACAGUGCUUCUCCACGUACAGAAGAUCUCGACUCGCCUGGAUUACAUAGCGAGUCAAAGUACCUCAAGCGUAAAGACAAUGCUAAAGUUGUGCCAGACUUGUCUGGUGAGACAAAGGUUGUAAAACAAUCAUACUCCAAAGAGAGUCUGUCAGAUUCGCCAACAAUCACACCUCGGGAAACAAAGGGGGGUAACUCCCAGUAUAAAUCAUCCACAUACACUGUCAACUUACAGGCACCAAAUCAUAGUCAAGAAUCAUCAGAAAAUUCCAAAGGCCAAUUUGGUAGUCCCCAGGUUGAGCGGAAAAAGUUCCUAGAUAAAGCUAUGCAGGAGGAGUUAAAACGAAUCAAGUCAAGUACUCUUGGCCGCAAGAAGAGCCAGGACAAGAUUCAUCAGGGAUCGUUUAUACAGACAAUCACAGACAAGCUCUCGGAUGCCAAACUCCAAACAGCGGAUUCCAAAUACAGAGAGAGCAGUUUCGUAAACUAUAACGGAACAAACAAAGCUGUCAACAAACGGAAUCGCAAUCAAUAUUACGACGGAAGCAUGACUGCACGAGAGCGUGCGGGUAGCUACAGCCCAACCCCAGGAUCACUGAUGCUUAGUGUUGUUGACCUGAACUUUCAUCGGGAGCCGAGUUCUUACGCUCACACUCCGGCCGUCCAGACACGUACUCACAGUAAAUACAUAUCCAUGCAGACUUACCAGAACAAUGCUGAUCCUGGUCAGUCCCCAGGCUACUCCUCCCACCAGCGGGGCGGCCCUGGGGGUGGGGCAUAUCAGCAGGAUAAUUGGCGAGCAACAGAUAGUAACCAAGACUGGCAGACACAAGCGACUCGCAAGAAGAAAAAGAAAAAGUUCUUGCAGAUUCUAGCCAAUGAGAAUGCUGGGAGAAUGACCCCUACAACCCGUCUGCACCUGAAUCAGUCAAGGGCAAGUCACUUAGACUAUGAUGAGGAUGUGGAUGAGGGUCAGAUCUCUGCCCGUGAACCGUUACAGAACUGGGAAUACUCGGCUAAGGAUGGUCUCUACAGCAGUCGUCAUCAGUACGCCAAGGCAGCAGCCUCCCUCCGUAAACAAACCCGCACACCAGUCGAUAAGGGGACCAGACUGCAGCCCCUCCAGAAGCCCCCGCCACACCUGGGGAGUCUAGCUCCAGGAAGCAGUGCCGGUGGUGGCACCAUGGACCCUGUAUGGCAUGGGCACCACUCUCAUGGCAAGUCCGACUCCGACACACGUCUCGUAAACAAUGCGGGAACAGACCUUCGUACAGGCUGGAUGUCUCGGCCACAGUCUGUACUGGGAGACGAUUCCUCAGACAUAUAUCACUACACACCUAGGGAACCGACUGAGCUCAAGUCUCUCAAGGGAGGCAAGCAGGGUCGGCACCAUAUGGAUUUACGAGGAACGCGAGAUUAGUAUGAAAGUUUAGCAGCAGGAGAGACAAGAUUAUUCUGAUAAUUUGUUCAUCAGACAUGCAUUUAUCAUUUGCUCUUUCAUGGUUUACACGUACAAACUUUGGUAAGAAUGGUUUCUAUGUUUUACUCCACUGUAUUACUGUUAACCUUGCGAGAAAAUCUUCAAAUGUCUCUAUAUAGUUUUACUCACAUACUCAUAAACCAAAUCAAAAAUUCUGUUUUGUUGUCAGAAUGGCAAGAGAUUACAUUGUUCCUAAGGUUGGACAAGAAAUUUUACAUUAUUUAUAUAUUUAUAUUUAAUCCAAAAUAUAUAGAAAAUAUUUAUCUUAUAUACACAGAAAAAUCAGAUAUAGAUGUUUGUGAAGUUUAAGAAUAUCUUUAUUUGCCGAAAUUAGAAUAAUAAUUAAAUACUGUAAGAAAAUAUUAUAAUUAUUGUACAUGGUUAUCCAGACUGAUACCGUUAUAAUGCAUUUUGUAAUAAAUAAAUAUCUGUAAUAAUUUCACAGCGAAAUGAAUUGUUUGUAUUGAAUGUAUUUGUGAUAUAAGACUAAUAUUACUAAUAAUAUGACUAUUAUCUAUUGAUUGUAUGAGAACUAGACAAGGCAUUACAUAUCUAUGGUACUCAUUUUCUCUGUAACAUACCUGAUCACAUACAAACCACGUAAUAUCAGAUCGGAUGAUUGAUAAUGAUUAUCAUAAGAAUUAGUCUGGACUUUGCCAAGUAGGAUAAGAUUAAAAAUUCACAAGUAAUUUAUAACUGUAAAAAUUUGCACUUGUCCAUAUCCAGGGCCGUGUACAACUGGUCAGUCAUUCACCUUUAGGUAUUAACAAUGAUGAUGGACAUUUCUAUACUUGUAAUUGGUUGAAGCAAAUUAUAUCCAACACAAUAAAACUGAAAUGGCAGAAAUGGUCGGUUACAUUUAGAAAUGGUCGGUUACAUUUAGAAGUAGUCGGCUACAAUUCUGUUUCUAUGUACCAUGAAGCUUGUACAAAAUUAAGGUACUACUAACAGUGAAGGUAUCUGUCCUUAUUGUCUGUCCAAUUUAUAUAAGUAAAGAUUCUUAUGUCUGACAUACUUGUAUCAGUAUAUAUUCUUAUGUCUGACAUACUUGUAUAAGUGUACAUUCUUAUGUCUGACGUACUUGUAUAAGUAUACAUUAUUAUGUCUGACAUACUUGUAUAAGUAUACAUUAUUAUGUCUGACAUACUUGUAUCAGUAUACAUUCUUAUGUCUGACAUACUGAUAUGUCUGUCCUAAUUAUGACGUACUGAUAUGUCUGUCCUAUGUCUGACAUACUGAUAUGUCUGUCCUAUGUCUGACAUACUGAUAUGUCUGUCCUAUGUCUGACAUACUGAUAUGUCUGUCCUAUGUCUGACAUACUGAUAUGUCUGUCCUGUCUGACGUACAGAUAUGUCUGUCCUAUCUGACGUACAGAUAUGUCUGUCCUAUGUCGGACAUAUCGGUGUAGAUUCUGAAAUCUGAUGUAUUUAAUUUAUUUUAGAUUCUGAAGAACAUACUCACUAGUUCCUGACACAGUAUUCAUUGUUCUUUUUUAUAUAUAAAUAGAUAUAUCAUUCCCUCCAUAGAUUUGUUCACACAUUCCUUUCUACCUCGACUUGGUUGCCGUUAUUUUUCACGAAAAUCUUCAUUCUGUGUGUUGUAUCAGAGGAUACCUAUAAUAUUGAAGGACAUUUGUAACUCAUAAUAUUUCAAGAUCUCUUGUCUAAAUAUGUGGAUUUUAUUGUGGCAAAUACAUUCCAUAUAAUAUUAUAUAUCACCCCGAAGGACCUGCCUACUCGGAUAGGAAGAAUUUCUCUUCAGUAGAGUCUAAUAAGCCAGUGGUCCUUGGUUCAAUGUGGAGGAGGGGCGGAAUUGAUCGGGAUUACAUUGACGGACAGAAAACUUAUUGUUGUGAGUGAUAUAUCACCGAGUUAAAAAGAAAUAUCAAUGUUUAUAGAAUGGCAUCUUUUUCUCCACACGUAUAUGUCUCGGGCCUCAGCAAAAUGAUAGAAUAAAAGUCUGCUGUAAACAAUAUGUAUACAGCAACAAUCUUAGUACUGAUUGUUAGACAGCAUUACAGCUAAGAUCGUCCAUCUUAUUGUACACCAAUCACCAUCACUUUAGGUGACUUAGAAGUCAGACAUGUUGACAAUCUGUGAUGUGGUUCACUACGUUGGACCAUACCUAAAUGGUCUGUACUACCCAUCUUUUUUAUUUGCCAAAGACGUAUAAAUGUAAAUAAGUGCUGUUCAGUGUUAAAUUUUUAGAAUAGUAGAAAUAAGAUGGUAAAGUUGAAGAACAUCUGAGAGUGAGAGAAACUUGAAGGAAGGUGAGAGAAAGGAAGCUGGAGAAAACGGAAAUGUGAUCAAGAGAAUGAAAAUGAGGAAGAUAUGAGAGAAAGAAAUUAAGACAAUAUGGUAGGUAAGAGGAAAAUAGUGACAGAAAAUGGAAUUUCUGAUAGAGAGAAUGGGAGUGAGAGAAAGUAGAAGGUACAAGAAUCUGAGGGGAAAAUGGGAGGAUUUGAGAACAUUGUUGGGCAGUAAAAUGCUGCAUGUUGGUGGAAGGUCUUGAGGGCAACAGAGCGUAAAAUGACGGGAAAGAGGAAAAUAUAGAUGGGUGACAGAAUUUUAUUCAAGUGUGAAAGAAUAUAGAGCUAGGACAAAGUAGUGUGAUAACAGAUGUCAGAGUGUUACAAAGAUGGCCAGAGAAUGUAUCACGAUAAAUUACCAUACAUUUGUCACUCAUAGUGUAUCAUAAGGUACAUGUAACUUACUCUAGUGUUUGUACUUAGUUAAUGUUGCACCUAAACUCAGAUUUAAUGAAAUGUCAAAAAUUUGAAUUGUGUUUGACUCAGAUAAGCCAGAAUGAAGAACGAGAAGAAUGAUUGAGGAUUAUUUUUCAGUUGGUGUCCAAACCAUGCUGGAAUUUGUGUCUGACUCAAUUUAACAGAAAGUACAGGUGUCUCAGGGACAGGUGUUGGAGAUAUGGU